rnacentral:ribozyme from 11 species
GAAUGUUUUUUCUUUUUCAAUUCUUAUUUAGUUUACUGAGAGCUGCACGGCUCAAAUCUUUCUAUUUUUGCUUUUUUGAACACGUAAUGUCUUUUAGAUUAAAUAAUGGAAGAAAAAGUCGGGAAGCGACAUGAUGAGAGAGAGAAAGAGAGAAAG